CAGUCGCCGCGGGAAUACGGAGGGUGCAAGCGUUAAUCGGAAUUACUGGGCGUAAAGCGCACGCAGGCGGUCUGUCAAGUCGGAUGUGAAAUCCCCGGGCUCAACCUGGGAACUGCAUUCGAAACUGGCAGGCUAGAGUCUUGUAGAGGGGGGUAGAAUUCCAGGUGUAGCGGUGAAAUGCGUAGAGAUCUGGAGGAAUACCGGUGGCGAAGGCGGCCCCCUGGACAAAGACUGACGCUCAGGUGCGAAAGCGUGGGGAGCAAACAGGAUUAGAUACACCGGUAGUCCCUGUCUCUUAUAC
rnacentral:rRNA from 1 species